rnacentral:rRNA from 1 species
AUUGAACGCUGGCGGCAGGCUUAACACAUGCAAGUCGAGCGGAGAUGAGGUGCUUGCACCUUAUCUUAGCGGCGGACGGGUGAGUAAUGCUUAGGAAUCUGCCUAUUAGUGGGGGACAACAUUCCGAAAGGAAUGCUAAUACCGCAUACGUCCUACGGGAGAAAGCAGGGGACCUUCGGGCCUUGCGCUAAUAGAUGAGCCUAAGUCGGAUUAGCUAGUUGGUGGGGUAAAGGCCUACCAAGGCGACGAUCUGUAGCGGGUCUGAGGGGAUGAUCCGCCACACUGGGACUGAGACACGGCCCAGACUCCUACGGGAGGCAGCAGUGGGGAAUAUUGGACAAUGGGCGGAAGCCUGAUCCAGCCAGGCCGCGUGUGUGAAGAAGGCCUUUUGGUUGUAAAGCACUUUAAGCGAGGAGGAGGCUACUUAGAUUAAUACUCUAGGAUAGUGGACGUUACUCGCAGAAUAAGCACCGGCUAACUCUGUGCCAGCAGCCGCAGUAAUAC